CCUACGGGAGGCUGCAGUAGGGAAUCUUCCACAAUGGGCGAAAGCCUGAUGGAGCAACGCCGCGUGGGUGAAGAAGGUCUUCGGAUCGUAAAACCCUGUUGUUAGAGAAGAAAGUGCGUGAGAGUAACUGUUCACGUUUCGACGGUAUCUAACCAGACAGCCACGGCUAACUACGUGCCAGCAGCCGCGGUAAUACGUAGGUGGCAAGCGUUAUCCGGAUUUAUUGGGCGUAAAGGGAACGCAGGCGGUCUUUUAAGUCUGAUGUGAAAGCCUUCGGCUUAACCGGAGUAGUGCAUUGGAAACUGGGAGACUGGAGUGCAGAAGAGGAGAGUGGAACUCCAUGUGUAGCGGUGAAAUGCGUAGAUAUAUGGAAGAACACCAGUGGCGAAAGCGGCUCUCUGGUCUGUAACUGACGCUGAGGUUCGAAAGCGUGGGUAGCAAACAGGAUUAGAUACCCCAGUAGUC
rnacentral:rRNA from 1 species